rnacentral:rRNA from 1 species
GCCCAUACUCCUACGGGAGGCAGCAGCAGGGAAUAUUGCGCAAUGGACGGAAGUCAGACGCAGCGACGCCGCGUGGGCGAUGAAGGCCUUCGGGUUGUAAAGCCCUUUUCUGGGGGACGAGGCAGGACGGUACCCUAGGAAUAAGCGUCGGCUAACUACGUGCCAGCAGCCGCGGUAAGACGUAGGACGCAAGCGUUAUCCGGAUUUACUGGGCGUAAAGCGCCUGUAGGCGGUUAUAUAAGUCGGAUGUGAAAGCCCCGUGCUCAACGCGGGGAAGCCAUUCGAUACUGUGUGACUCGAGAGUGGCAGAGGGAAACGGAAUUUCUGGUGUAGCGGUAAAAUGCGCAGAGAUCAGAAAGAACACCGAUGGCGAAGGCAGUUUCCUGGGCCAAAUCUGACGCUGAGAGGCGAAAGCUAGGGGAGCGAACAGGAUUAGAGACCCUGGUAGUCCUAGCUGUAAACGCUGGAUGCUAGGUGUAGGUCGUAAAGAUCUGUGCCGGAGUUAACGCGAUAAGCAUCCCGCCUGGGGAGUACGGCCGCAAGGCUAAAACUCAAACGAAUUGACGGGGACCCGCACAAGCAGCGGAGCGUGUGGUUUAAUUCGAUGCUACACGAAGAACCUUACCUGGGCUUGACAUGUAGGUGGUAGCGAAGUGAAAGCGGAGCGACCCUUCGGGGAGCCUACACAGGUGCUGCAUGGCUGUCGUCAGCUCGUGCCGUGAGGUGUCGGGUUAAGUCCCGUAACGAGCGCAACCCUUGUCCUUAGUUACAAGUGUCUAAGGAGACUGCCGGUGACAAACCGGAGGAAGGUGGGGAUGACGUCAAGUCAGCAUGGCCCUUAUGUCCAGGGCGACACACACGCUACAAUGGUCGGUACAAUGGGCAGCGCAGCCGCGAGGUGAAGCGAAUCCCAGCAAAGCCGAUCCCAGUUCGGAUUGCAGGCUGCAACCCGCCUGCAUGAAGCCGGAGUUGCUAGUAACCGCGCGUCAGCCAUAGUGCGGUGAAUACGUUCCCGGGUCUUGUACACACCGCCCGUCACGUCAUGGGAGUCGGCAACGCCUGAAGCCGGUAGCCUGACCGCAAGGGAGGCGCCGUCGAGGGUGGGGCUGGCGACUGGGACGAAGUCGUAACAAGGUAGCGGUACCGGAAGGUGCGGCUGGAUCACCUCCUUUCU